GUCAAGGGCAGAGUAACCAAGAGAUCUCAGCAAGCAUGAGGGAGAUUCAAGGAGCUGGCAUUGUGUGACUGGGGACAGAAAAGCCCUCAUGCAGGCAGGCGGGUCACAAUUGUUCCCUUCAGAUUUCUGAGGGGCUGCCUUGGUGGGAGAGGGGGUAGUUCAGUUCUGUGGGGCUCCAGGGGGCAAAAGGCAUGAUAAAUGAGUAGAAGUCAUGGAGAGGUGGAGCUUGCCUCCAGACAGAAUGCUAAGAAGGAUGCUGCUGCACAGUGGGGACUGAGCCAACUCACUGUUCAACAAAUAAGCAUUGGAGGGUCUCUAGUUCCAUAGAAAGAAGGCAAAUGAAGAGGACAGAAGAAGGAGAGAGACCUUCCCACCCCAUCAGCCCUAUGCUGCAGAGAGGUGGGCACCAGGGCCUGCCCGGGUCCCACCACUAGGGACAGCCCCCAAGGCUGGCUAGCCUGGCCUCUCCAGCAGCCUAACGUUGGGAGCUCUGCUGGCCAUAUAGACCCUCU
rnacentral:lncRNA from 1 species